rnacentral:pre_miRNA from 1 species
UGUAAACAUCCCCGACUGGAAGCUGUAAAAUAGUUCUCCAGCUUUCAGUCAGAUGUUUGCGAC